AACGAACGCUGGCGGCGUGCCUCAUACAUGCAAGUCGUACGCGAAUCCUGCCGCAAGGCAGGGUUUGAGUGGCAAACGGGUGCGUAACACGUAGGUAAUCUUCCUUUGAGUUGGGGAUAAACCCUCGAAAGGGGGUCUAAUACCGAAUAACACUUCUGGUUGGCAUCAACCGGAAAUUAAAGAUGGCCUCUGCUUGCAAGCUAUCGCUCGGAGAUGAGCCUGCGGCCGAUAGUUAGUUGGCGGGAUAAAAGCCCACCAAGACUUCGAUCGGUAGCCGGUCUGAGAGGAUGUCCGGCCACACUGGGACUGAGAUACGGCCCAGACUCCUACGGGAGGCAGCAGUAGGGAAUAUUGCGCAAUGGGCCGCAAGGCUGACGCAGCAACGCCGCGUGGGGGAUG
rnacentral:rRNA from 1 species